rnacentral:rRNA from 1 species
GACGAACGCUGGCGGCGUGCUUAACACAUGCAAGUCGAGCGAUGAAGUUCCUUCGGGAACGGAUUAGCGGCGGACGGGUGAGUAACACGUGGGUAACCUGCCUCGUAGAGGGGAAUAGCCUUUCGAAAGGAAGAUUAAUGCCCCAUAAGAUUGUAGUACCGCAUGGUAUAGCAAUUAAAGGAGUAAUCCGCUAUGAGAUGGACCCGCGUCGCAUUAGCUAGUUGGUGAGGUAACGGCUCACCAAGGCGACGAUGCGUAGCCGACCUGAGAGGGUGAUCGGCCACAUUGGGACUGAGACACGGCCCAGACUCCUACGGGAGGCAGCAGUGGGAAAUAUUGCACAAUGGGGGAAACCCUGAUGCAGCAACGCCGCGUGAGUGAUGACGGUCUUCGGAUUGUAAAACUCUGUCUUCAGGGACGAUAAUGACGGUACCUGAGGAGGAAGCCACGGCUAACUACGUGCCAGCCGCCGCCGUAA